ACCUUGAGUUCAGCUCAGGGCAGCUCCCCUGUUCUGUUAAUUAAACUCUGGGACAUCAAACUGGCUAGGGUAGAUCACUGCAUAGAAAAUAUUACUUUAAAAAAAAAAAAAAAAAAGAAAGAAAAUAUUACUCUAUUCAUUUACCUCCCAGCCUAUAAAA
rnacentral:snoRNA from 1 species